rnacentral:tRNA from 1 species
GCCUCAUUCGCUUAAUGGUAAAGCCCUACUCUUGUAAAGUAGUGCCGUCAGUUCGAUUCUGACAUGAGGCUC